AUUAUAUGCAAAUCGUCGCUUUUCGUUUCUUCUUUUACUUUAGCACCUGAGUUUCGGGGGCUUGCGCGCGUAAGAAAAGAAACGAAAAGUUACGCUAAAGCCUCCGUCAGGAGGCUUUUUUGU
rnacentral:ncRNA from 1 species